rnacentral:rRNA from 1 species
UACGUAGGGUGCGAGCGUUAAUCGGAAUUACUGGGCGUAAAGCGUGCGCAGGCGGUUUUGUAAGUCAGAUGUGAAAUCCCCGGGCUUAACCUGGGAACCGCGUUUGAAACUACAAGGCUAGAGUGUGGCAGAGGGGGGUGGAAUUCCACGUGUAGCAGUGAAAUGCGUAGAGAUGUGGAGGAACACCGAUGGCGAAGGCAGCCCCCUGGGUUAACACUGACGCUCAGGCACGAAAGCGUGGGGAGCGAACAGG